UUCAGAGUGUAGAGCUUAAUUGGAACAGUGUUUAUGCUUCACUGCCAGAGUCAAGGCUACUCCGCUCUUUUGUUUCAUCUUCCCUCCUUUCUUCCUUUCACAGCCCAAACACUUGAAGAGGAUUUCAAGUUAAUUUACAUCCUGCAGAGGGUAAAUGGCAGAAACUGUUUCUUACAGUUCUGCAUUAGGACUGACUAAUGUAAGUUUUGCAAGGAAAUUAUUAUUCCAUCAGGAGAGAUACAUAGCUUUGGAAUGGAGUUACCCUUUGUUACCUGUGAGGCAGCAUUUCUCUGAUGGGCCUCAUCUUUCACUACCACCUGGGUGAGGUAGUACAUUGGUAAUGCACUGUCAAAAUGCAUUUGGUUCAUGCUGUGAAAAAUAAUUAGUUGGACAAUGGAGCUGCUUUGAAUUUACAUGUGUGACUCAUCCCACAACCCUUCCUGUGAUUGUGGGAUUGGGCCUCGGAUUACGGAAAUGAUUGAUAAAUAUUCUUCUAAACACCUAUGAUUUCAGAACAAUGGAUGCUGCUGAAAUGUCAGCACUUGUGAAAAUGGCAGUUUGUUUACUAGGAAAUGAAAAGAAUGAGGAGCUUUUGAUGGUCAGGGCAGCAAUGUCUGUGUGCUCUUGAAAUUUCUGAAAAAUAUAUUUAUAUUCUGUUCUACUUUGCCUGUGGUUCCCACACACAUGUGGCACCACUGGUAAUAUCUCUUUGGAGAACUAGUCCUCUGGGUAGAUUUUGAAAGGGUGGGUCCAGCAUAAAUAUAAACUCCAUUAACUCUAGCAUAUUUUGAUUUGCAGAAGUAAUAAUGGUGAUAAUGGUGUAUAUAGGGUCAAAACCACUUUUUUUUCCUUCCUUAUACAGAUUACUGCAUUUAUUUCAAUGCAUUUUUCAAAUAAAUAAUGAAACACCAGGACAUGACCCAGAAAUAUCUUAUCAUUAUCUAUGAAUAAAGUAUUGUGCUUUAGCAUUACAGAUGAGUAGAACUGAAAUGUUCCUGUAACAUAUCCCCAUAUAAUUUGACACCAACUAAACAUCUUCAGUGACUUGUGAAACACUAUGUUUCCACAGACUGUGCCUUUUGUGCCACUAGCCUCUUGUUAACAGGAUUAAGUUGUGCUGUCAAGAGAGUGUAAAUGUUUACAAAGAGAUUGCAGGAUAUUUCUGCCCAGUACUCCAUUAAGAAAUGAGGAGUGUGCUGACUGUACUGCAUGUUCAUAGUGAGUUGGAACCAUUUCACAUCUCUGAAAUUCAGUGAAGCUUAGAGACCCAGGACCAACACUCCACCAGUAAGAGCCUUCCCCUUAUAUCCAGACCUUCUGACAACUUCUGUCUCUCUGACCAUGCUCAACCACCUAAUGACAAUACCAUUUCCCACUGCCAGAGCAGAGCACCACAGGCUGCUGGCAUCCUUUAAAGCUGUCUGAAGCAUCAGCUUGAGAAAUGCAUUUCCAGAGUGAGCUGAGAUGGCAGAUAGCUACAGGAAGAAUUUUAACAGUUGUUUAAAAAAAAAAAA